rnacentral:rRNA from 1 species
CCGACGGUGAGAGGUGAAAGCUGGGGGCACGAACCGGAUUAGAUACCCGGGUAGUCCUAGCCGUAAACGAUGCUCGCUAGGUGUCUGGGAUGGUGCGACCGUUUCAGGUGCCGCAGGGAAGCCGUGAAGCGAGCCACCUGGGAAGUACGGCCGCAAGGCUGAAACUUAAAGGAAUUGGCGGGGGAGCACUACAACGGGUGGAGCCUGCGGUUUAAUUGGACUCAACGCCGGAAAACUCACCUGGGGC